AAGAAGGACGAAGGUGCGUGUUGACAGCUCUGAGUGGAAGGAGGACGAAGGUGCGUUUUGACAGCUCUGAGUGGAAGAAGGACGAAGGUGCGUUUUGACAGCUCUGAGUGGAAGGAGGACGAAGGCACGUGUUGACAGCUCUGAGGGGAAGAAGGACGAAGGUGCGUUUUGACAGCAUUGAGGGGAAGAAGGACGAAGGUGCGUUAAGAACUGAAACAUGAACGCAUAACAACAGCAACUCUUUGUAUUCGUUGACAGUCUCUCUCUAGUCAUGGUUUUAAACAUUUUGAAAUCUCACAGAUUCAACUUACUGCGGAUACGGUAAUCUGAGCCAUCCGAUUGGCCAGCGGGAGGCAAAUAGAGCACUUGAUUUAGUUCUGCGGGUCCGCCAGGAAGGCAGAGUUUGUACCUUCAGACACAUAAAAUGGUUAAAAAUGGGAACCGGUUGCCUCCCCGGCGCGCAGGGCAGUUUAAAUCAGGUGCACCUACCGCCAACAGCCCCAGAGGAAUGAAAAAGGAAACCGCACACUGGUCUUGAUAGUUUCACUGAUCUUUAAUUAGCUUUACGUAUCGGCCUCACGGCCUUCAUCAGGACUUGUGAUUUAAAAAUAAAAAAAAAUAUAUAUAUAUAUAUAUAUAGUACCCAUAUAUAGACCUAGCCCCGCCCACAUCCGUUCCACUCUUCGAAAGGGGUUUGAGGCGAAGGAAAAACACAUAAGUGCUUCCAAAUAUAACAAUCUACAUUUCAUAAAUAUUAGAAUAAAGUGUUAAACACGUCUGUAGAACCACAAUGAGGACGAAACCCCAGAGGAAUAAAAUAGAAAUAGAUACACGAGGCUUUACCAUUUUUGUUGAUUUUUUUUUUUACAGAAAAGUUUGACGAUCCACUAGGGAAUGUCUUGGCGAUGGACCAGUUGGUGACCACUGCUCUAUAGAAUCCAGCAGCACAUUCAUCCAGAACGUUCUAGAGCUUUCACUUCUCUCUGACAUUCUCUAUUCGCCCACGGAGCUCUCGCUGCUUAGCAACAGCCGCCAGACAGAGUUCCGUCCAGGCACGGCGGUAAUGAGCUUCUCCUUGUGUUAUUGUGUUUGUAUAAUAAACAUAUAAACUAGUCCUGCUGUGGAAAUAGUCACACUGAGCUUUCAGAGGUUCCUUCUCAGACUCUGUAGAGUUAAAGGGCUGAGUUAUGACAUAAUGGACCGAUGGGGGGG